AGCGAGAUUUCGACACGCAGGCUCAUAACCUGAAGGUCGCAGGUUCAAAUCCUGCUCCCGCAACCA
rnacentral:tRNA from 1 species